AUAACGGGUCUAUUUCCGGUCACUUUAUUCACCUUCCUCAUUCUAUCUGCUAUGGCAUACAUGGAACUGAGAUGGUUUGUGAAAGGGAAUGCAGUAGGGGUGAGGAUUACCGCUUGGUGAAACUCAUAAUUAUUGACUACAAU